rnacentral:rRNA from 1 species
GUAGAUUAUAUUUAUUAAUUUUAUAAGUUUUGUUUUAAAAUAUUAAAAAUAAUUAUAAUUUUUAUAGUUUUAGUAUUUUUUAAAGAAAAAAUAAAUUUAAUAAUAGUUUAAUAGUAUUGUAAAAGAAAAUUGAAAUAAUUUGAAAAAUUCCUUA